rnacentral:rRNA from 1 species
AGUCGAGCGGUAAGGCCCUUUCGGGGUACACGAGCGGCGAACGGGUGAGUAACACGUGGGUGAUCUGCCCUGCACUCUGGGAUAAGCCUGGGAAACUGGGUCUAAUACUGGAUAUGACCUGUCCUCGCAUGGGGGUGGGUGGAAAGAUUUAUCGGUGCAGGAUGGGCCCGCGGCCUAUCAGCUUGUUGGUGGGGUAAUGGCCUACCAAGGCGACGACGGGUAGCCGACCUGAGAGGGUGACCGGCCACACUGGGACUGAGACACGGCCCAGACUCCUACGGGAGGCAGCAGUGGGGAAUAUUGCACAAUGGGCGAAAGCCUGAUGCAGCGACGCCGCGUGAGGGAUGAAGGCCUUCGGGUUGUAAACCUCUUUCAGCAGGGACGAAGCGCAAGUGACGGUACCUGCAGAAGAAGCACCGGCUAACUACGUGCCAGCAGCCGCGGUAAUACGUAGGGUGCGAGCGUUGUCCGGAAUUACUGGGCGUAAAGAGUUCGUAGGCGGUUUGUCGCGUCGUUUGUGAAAUCCCGGGGCUCAACUUCGGGCUUGCAGGCGAUACGGGCAGACUUGAGUGUUUCAGGGGAGACUGGAAUUCCUGGUGUAGCGGUGAAAUGCGCAGAUAUCAGGAGGAACACCGGUGGCGAAGGCGGGUCUCUGGGAAACAACUGACGCUGAGGAACGAAAGCGUGGGUAGCAAACAGGAUUAGAUACCCUGGUAGUCCACGCCGUAAACGGUGGGCGCUAGGUGUGGGUUCCUUCCACGGAAUCUGUGCCGUAGCUAACGCAUUAAGCGCCCCGCCUGGGGAGUACG